rnacentral:rRNA from 1 species
UACGUAUGGAGCAAGCGUUAUCCGGAUUUACUGGGUGUAAAGGGUGCGUAGGUGGCAGUGCAAGUCAGAUGUGAAAGGCCGGGGCUCAACCCCGGAGCUGCAUUUGAAACUGCUCGGCUAGAGUACAGGAGAGGCAGGCGGAAUUCCUAGUGUAGCGGUGAAAUGCGUAGAUAUUAGGAGGAACACCAGCGGCGAAGGCGGCCUGCUGGACUGUUACUGACACUGAGGCACGAAAGCGUGGGGAGCAAACAGG